rnacentral:tRNA from 1 species
GGGGCUGUAGCUCAGUGGUAGAGCGCUUGCCUAGCAUGCAUGAGGCACUGGGUUCAAUCCUCAGCAUCACA